rnacentral:rRNA from 1 species
GAUGAACGCUGGCGGCGUGCCUAAUACAUGCAAGUCGAGCGAACAGACGAUGAGCUUGCUCCUCUGACGUUAGCGGCGGACGUGUGAGUAACACGUGGAUAACCCACCUAUAAGACUGGGAUAACUUCGGGAAACCGGAGCUAAUACCGGAGAAUAUAUUGAACCGCAUGGUUCAAUAGUGAAAGACGGUUUUGCUGUCACUUAUAGAUGUAUCCGGGCCGCAUUAGCUAGUUGGUAAGUUAACGGCUUACCAAGGCGACGAUGCGUAUCCGACCUGUGAGGGUGAUCGGCCACACGGGAACUGAGACACGGUCCAGACUCCUACGGGAGGCAGCAGUAGGGAACCUGACGCAAUGGGCGAAAGCAUGACGGAGCAACGCGGCGUGAGUGAUGAAGGUCUUGCGAUCGUAAAACUCUGUUAUUAGGUAAGAACAAAUGUGUACGUAACUAUGCACGUCUUGACGGUACCUAAUAAGAAAGCCACGGCUAACUACGUG